GUACAAUGUCUACACAGCAAUACUUUCACAAUUACUGACUCAAUAAAGCAUAUUUGGUUUAUCAGCAUUCCAAACAUUGCGGUUUGAGUUUGGGUUAUAUUUGACCAACAAUUAAAAAAUAAUGGUAUUAUUCUGUUCAAAAUUUCAGAUAUGUAUUGAUUCUUUAGUGGAACAAUAAAAUGAGUGUAUGCCCUUCUCAAAAAUUCAGUUGUAUUGAUUCAGAUUAAAGAAAAAUGUGACAAGAGUUGCAUCACUUGCUACUUGAAGCUUGAAGGAACUGAUGAGCAUAGAGUCUGGUGAUUUGUUCUGGGAGAAGAAGUCGAAUGCAUCAUUCCCACCAGCACUGAUGAGGAAGAUUGAUUUGGACAGCAAGGUUGACGCUUUGUCGGCGCUCAACAUGGUUGAUAUCUGGUCUCUGAGGUUCAAAAAUUGUUUUGAGAGAAUUUAUGCGUACUGUGGAAUCAAGAAGACCAGAGCCUCCUGAAGCAAAGUUGGCUCCUUUCAUGCCUGAUGAUGCAGCCGCCAUCAUCGUCCUGUUGUUCUUGUUCAUCACUUCUACACUGCUGUUGCUGCUGCUGCUGCUGUUGGCAGCCAUGGCGACGAGAGAGAGUGUCGGGAUUGUGAACCUGAACCAUGUGGCUCACCUAUGAAGUCGACGCCAAUGAGGCCAUUGCUGAACCUUCCCGUCGGCUUGC